rnacentral:SRP_RNA from 1 species
GCAGGGCGUGGUGGCAUGCAUCUGUGGUCUCAGCUACUUACGGUGGAGGCUGAGGCAGGAGGGUCACAUGAGCCUAGAAGUCCUGGGCUGUGUGCUAUGCUGAUUGGGUGUCUGUACUAAGUUCAAUAUCUAUAUAGUGACCUCCUGGAAGCAGGGAACCAUCAAGUUGCCUAAGGAGGGGUGAACCAGCCCAGGCCAGAAAUGAAACAGGUCAAAACUCCUGUGAUUAUCAGUAGUGGGAUUGCACCUGUGAAUAGCCACCACACUGUAGUCUCGGCAACAUAGCAAGACCCCCAUCUCU